UCGAACCAAAGUCAUCAUCGGAUACACCCAUACACCUUUCCCCUGUUAGGCUAAGGCUAACGGCUAACGACAACAGCUACUAGUCUCAACUCUUUCUGAUAUCUUUUAUGAAGAAUCUAAAAGACAAUGGAUUAGAAUAUUUUGAAGAGGAUACGGACUGAAUUACUUCGUUGGAAAGCUACAACGGUGACGAAAUGGACAUCAUUUAAAAUCCCCUCCACCAGGGUUAUGAACUGUCCCGAGUUGGGGAAAUGGAUUGUAGUCACCCGCAGAGAGGAAGAUGACUGUAGCCUUUCACCUAAAACCCCAGGCAGCCCUUCUGUCUCUCAGGGUGCUGUCUGGGGUGAUCCGGAGGUCGUGGGGUGAACCAGAGGCCAGCUGGACUAUGAGAGGGUGAUCAUGAGGUUGACAAAUCUACAGAGGCCACCCUUGACCUUUUGACCGUGAUCGGGCCUUAUGGGUAAUGAUGAUACUGAUGGCCUGACAGCCAACUUACCCAGUGGCCAUCUGGAGCAGCUGUCAUGGUGGCUGAUUGAGAAGGAGACCAACCACCGGCCAUGCAUUGAUUUUUGUUUUGGACAGGGAUCUAACCUCUCUUUUCUCAGGCUCCCUCUCUCUGAUCCUUUAGCAUUGUCCUCCUCACCCUGAACUUUGACCUGAGAGAGAGUGGAGCUGGAGGUCACUGUCAAUGCCCCUCGCGCACACCACCAUGUACUGAGUAUUUAAUGGUCAUCUUUAUCCAUUGACCUUAUCUAGCUAGCUACUAUUGUACAACAACAUGCAGCUUUCUAUUAGCUUAAACAUGCAGCUCUUUUCUGUUAUUGUGUGUUAUCAUAGUAGUUAUAUAAAGGAGCCCCAAUAUAAAUGGAAAUGAUUUGCUCUGUUUCCUUAUAAACCUUGUUAUUUUCACUCAAUUACUCUACAUUUCAGAGGAAAAUGUUGUACAUUUCAAUGUUAUAUUGUAUUUCAAAAUGUACUGUACAUACAGUACAGUAGAUCUGAGUUUGUAUCAGCGUAACAUUAAAGUGGGUGAACCAUUAGACUAAACUACUAAAGAGUAAAUUCAAAGUGAACUCGAAUUUCAAGGGUAUUUAUGCCUAAACAAGUUUACAUUUUUUUAAAUGUUGAUGGAGCGGUUUGAAGUAAGCAUAGCCCUGUUCGAUCUAAACUCCAGUCAGAAAAAAAGCCUUUAAAAGUUUUUUUCUGUCACCUUGUGGAAAACACAUGUAUGUUGGGUGAUGCUUGGGUGAAAAGCCAAUAGAAGGCACUUUUGAAUGUAUA